ACAGGGCUCUAGUUAGGGCCUCACCUGUCAUGGCCACACGUUUUGAUUUCUCUUAUCGUCACCGAGAGGCCAACAUCCCGCCACCACGUCUGUGGCACCUACGUCAUAAGCCAAAUCAUAGGUAGAGCCUCUCACCGCCACUUGGCAUUAGCAGGGCCUCACCUAUCCAGUCAUUCAACAGUUAAGUUUUUCGCCUCGGCAUCUAGCAUUACAGUCCAGUUUUUCCAGAUACAUCAC